rnacentral:lncRNA from 1 species
GAUACAGGUGCUUUAGCUCAUCAGGUUCAGCUUGAUGGCCCAUAUAUAAAGAAAAUGUUACAUGAGGUCUUGUGCAAUGUUGCAUGGAGCUUCCCUGAAUUCAUGGAACAGCCAGAAUAUCUCAUUGAACUUCUUGCUCGAAUGUCACUUGGCGAACGAUCCCCUAGCUCUCGACAAAAUCAUUUGGAAAUUGGAAUGCGCUG